rnacentral:rRNA from 1 species
CGUGGGGAGCAAACAGGAUUAGAUCCCUGGUAGUCACGCUGUAAACGAUGUCGAUUUGGAGGUUGUCCCUUGAGGAGUGGCUUCCGGAGCUAACGCGUUAAAUCGACCGCCUGGGGAGUACGGCCGCAAGGUUAAAACUCAAAUGAAUGACGGGGGCCCGCACAAGCGGUGGAGCAUGUGGUUUAAUUCGAUGCAACGCGAAGAACCUUACCUGGUCUUGACAUCCAGAGAAUUUAGCAGAGAUGCUUUAGUGCCUUCGGGAACUCUGAGACAGGUGCUGCAUGGCUGUCGUCAGCUCGUGUUGUGAAAUGUUGGGUUAAGUCCCGCAACGAGCGCAACCCUUAUCCUUUGUUGCCAGCACGUUAUGGUGGGAACUCAAAGGAGACUGCCGGUGAUAAACCGGAGGAAGGUGGGGAUGACGUCAAGUCAUCAUGGCCCUUACGAGUAGGGCUACACACGUGCUACAAUGGCGUAUACAAAGAGAAGCGACCUCGCGAGAGCAAGCGGAACUCAUAAAGUACGUCGUAGUCCGGAUUGGAGUCUGCAACUCGACUCCAUGAAGUCGGAAUCGCUAGUAAUCGUAGAUCAGAAUGCUACGGUGAAUACGUUCCCGGGCCUUGUACACACCGCCCGUCACACCAUGGGAGUGGGUUGCAAAAGAAGUAGGUAGCUUAACCUUCGGGAGGGCGCUUACCACUUUGUGAUUCAUGACUGGGGUGAAGUCGUAACAAGGUAACCA